CUGAACUCCGCCACGAAUUUGCCCCACGCCAGGAUGGAGGGUCUCUUAGGGAGACGAAACCCAGCUGGAGAAAUCGCGGCCUGGGAGCCCCUGGCCCCACUCGCAAGACAACCCGCCCGGCGCGAAGGAUGCGUCUCCCGAACCCCGCGCAGGGAACUGGAAGGCAGGCAGACUCUUGAGCUCCAACGGAGUGUAAUCUCAAAGAAGAAAAAAAAAAAAACUUUAAAAAUGAAAAGGGGGGAUAAAAAACUAAAUUUGAACAAAACUAAAUUACAAGCCCACAGGUCCCUGCGCCGCAAACGAGGUGGGGGAGGAGGGGGCGGAACGGCCGAGGCACUGAGAGUGGGGGAUGCAGCAUGAAAUCCGUCCCCUGCAGAGUCGGUGCCUUCGGGGGCUCCACCGCCGCACGCUCCGACUUGCAAGGUUUGGACACACAGGGGAGGCCGAAGGUGCAAAUGUUAGGUUUCAGCAUCCUGAGUUCCCUGAUUCUGAGCAAAGAUUUGUGUGGCUCCUUUCCUUUAAAAAUGUAAAGAAAACCCUCCCUUCAUCGCAGAAGCCAUCGUCUCCACCUUUUGUGGAGCCUCCUGCAAAAAGCCGCAGUCUGCAAGACAGAACUGGAAAGAACUCCUCCCAUCACUCAUGGGAGAAAAUGAAGCUCUCUACUGGCCUCUAUCAGAGAAGCUAA
rnacentral:lncRNA from 1 species